rnacentral:rRNA from 1 species
GAUGACAGGAGCUUGCUCCUGGAUUCAGCGGCGGACGGGUGAGUAAUGCCUAGGAAUCUGCCUGGUAGUGGGGGACAACGUUUCGAAAGGAACGCUAAUACCGCAUACGUCCUACGGGAGAAAGCAGGGGACCUUCGGGCCUUGCGCUAUCAGAUGAGCCUAGGUCGGAUUAGCUUGUUGGUGAGGUAAUGGCUCACCAAGGCGACGAUCCGUAACUGGUCUGAGAGGAUGAUCAGUCACACUGGAACUGAGACACGGUCCAGACUCCUACGGGAGGCAGCAGUGGGGAAUAUUGGACAAUGGGCGAAAGCCUGAUCCAGCCAUGCCGCGUGUGUGAAGAAGGUCUUCGGAUUGUAAAGCACUUUAAGUUGGGAGGAAGGGUUGUAGAUUAAUACUCUGCAAUUUUGACGUUACCGACAGAAUAAGCACCGGCUAACUCUGUGCCAGCAGCCGCGGUAAUACAGAGGGUGCAAGCGUUAAUCGGAAUUACUGGGCGUAAAGCGCGC